GACGAACGCUGGCGGCGUGCUUAACACAUGCAAGUCGAGCGGAGAUAAGGGGUUUACUCCUUAUCUUAGCGGCGGACGGGUGAGUAACGCGUGAGCAAUCUACCUCUACCAGGGGGAUAACACUUAGAAAUAGGUGCUAAUACCGCAUAAGACCACAGUACCGCAUGGUACAGGGGUAAAAGGGAAACCGGGAAGAGAUGAGCUCGCGUCCCAUUAGCUAGUUGGUGAGGGUAAAGGCCCACCAAGGCGACGAUGGGUAGCCGACCUGAGAGGGUGAUCGGCCACAUUGGAACUGAGAGACGGUCCAAACUCCUACGGGAGGCAGCAGUGGGGAAUAUUGGGCAAUGGAGGAAACUCUGACCCAGCAACGCCGCGUGAAGGAAGAAGGUUUUCGGAUUGUAAACUUCUGUCGCAGGUGAAGAAGAAUGACGGUAGCCUGUAAGAAAGCCCCGGCUAACUACGUGCCAGCAGCCGCAGUAACAC
rnacentral:rRNA from 1 species